rnacentral:rRNA from 1 species
UAGGGAAUCUUCGGCAAUGGACGAAAGUCUGACCGAGCAACGCCGCGUGAGUGAAGAAGGUUUUCGGAUCGUAAAACUCUGUUGUUAGAGAAGAACAAGGACGUUAGUAACUGAACGUCCCCUGACGGUAUCUAACCAGAAAGCCACGGCUAACUACGUGCC